GGGAUGUAGCUCAGUGGUAGUGUGCUUGCCUAGCCUGCGCAAAGUCCUGGGUUUGAUUCCCAGCACUCA
rnacentral:tRNA from 1 species